rnacentral:rRNA from 1 species
UACAGAGGUCUCAAGCGUUGUUCGGAUUCAUUGGGCGUAAAGGGUGCGUAGGUGGCGCCAUAAGUCAGGUGUGAAAUCUCGGGGCUCAACCUCGAAACGGCCAACUGAUACUGCUGUGCUAGAGUGCAGAAGGGGCAAUCAGAAUUCUUGGUGUAGCGGUGAAAUGCGUAGAUAUCAAGAGGAAUACCUGAGGUGAAGACGGGUUGCUAGGCUGACACUGACGCUGAGGCGCGAAAGCCAGGGGAGCAAACGGG